rnacentral:tRNA from 1 species
GCCUUUAUAGUUUAACCAAAAACAUUAGUCUUGUAAACUAAAAUUGUAUUCUCUAAAGGUA